rnacentral:rRNA from 1 species
AGAGUUUGAUCCUGGCUCAGGAUGAACGCUAGCUACAGGCUUAACACAUGCAAGUCGAGGGGCAGCAUGUUGGUUGCUUGCAACCAACGAUGGCGACCGGCGCACGGGUGAGUAACGCGUAUCCAACCUACCCUUGUCCAUCGGAUAACCCGUCGAAAGGCGGCCUAACACGAUAUGCGGUUCACAGCAGGCAUCUAACGUGAACGAAAUGUGAAGGAGAAGGAUGGGGAUGCGUCUGAUUAGCUUGUUGGCGGGGUAACGGCCACCGAAGGCUACGAUCAGUAGGGGUUCUGAGAGGAAGGUCCCCCACAUUGGAACUGAGACACGGUCAAACUCCUACGGAGCA